AACGAACGCUGGCGGCAUGCCUAACACAUGCAAGUCGAACGAGACCUUCGGGUCUAGUGGCGCACGGGUGCGUAACGCGUGGGAACCUGCCCUUAGGUUCGGAAUAACUCCCCGAAAGGGGUGCUAAUACCGGAUAAUGUCUUCGGACCAAAGAUUUAUCGCCUUUGGAUGGGCCCGCGUUGGAUUAGCUAGUUGGUAGGGUAAAAGCCUACCAAGGCGACGAUCCAUAGCUGGUCUGAGAGGAUGAUCAGCCGCACUGGGACUGAGACACGGCCCAGACUCCUACGGGAGGCAGCAGUGGGGAAUAUUGGACAAUGGGCGAAAGCCUGAUCCAGCAAUGCCGCGUGAGUGAUGAAGGCCUUAGGGUUGUAAAGCUCUUUUACCCGGGAUGAUAAUGACAGUACCGGGAGAAUAAGCCCCGGCUAACUCCGUG
rnacentral:rRNA from 1 species